AAGUAGAAAUAUGGUAAGGGGCCAGUAUUGUCAUUCUGCCUUUCAGUUCUUCCAUAAAAGUUUUGUGUGCAUGUGUGUGUGUGUGUGUGAGAGAGAGAGAGAGAGAGACAGACAGACAGACAGAGAGAGGAAUCAGGAGAUAUACUGUAUGUAAAAUAAUCCUCCUGGUCCUCUUCAUGAAGAUUUUGUCUGUUUAUUUUUAAAAUAGCCAUUGGUUCCAGAUUCCCAGAGCUGAUUUUCUUAGAUUAGCUAUUUGUACUCAGAGGUAGAGCCCUGAGCAAUAUUAUUCUUCAAUUAAAAUCAAGAACUUGACUUUAGGAGGAAGCAUGUUAUGUUUAUAUAACAUCUGCAAUGCAUAGAAAAUAUUCACCACACAUAUCUGAAGACAAAGCUUCAAUUGUUUAAAUGUUCUUUUCACUUCAUAGAUACUAAGGCAUGUUGAUCUUCUAUCGAGCUUAAUUUUUUAAAAAGCUUGUUACCUACUUUCAUCUCCAAGGCAUUUUAAAUAAAUACAGAGCUAAUGCUGUCUUCCUUGUAACUACCUCCUUGAUUUAAAGGUAAAAUUACCUUUUGUAAAGUAUUGCAGGCUGCCAUCUCACCCUCAUACAUGUGCAUUUUCUCUACAAGCACUCCACCAAGUCCCCACCACUACCAGUCCCCACCACUAUCACAGGCAAAAGUGCUGCAAAAGUUAAGAGGAAUAUGACUGCAUACAGAGUUUAAUAUAAUAGCUGUGUGAAGGCCAACACAAAAUGUCACAAUUACGUGGGUUUGGUUUGGUUUGUUGGCUCUUUUGGGGGGUGGAAGGGAAGAGGUAAGGAGGUGUUCACAAUCCCAUUGUCUUUUCCUGGUAUUUAGACUAUUUGGAAAACUGGCAACUCAAAUUAAAACUGAAUUAUUGCAAAGCAACUAAAGUUUUUCCUUGAGGGGGAAAAAAAGGAGAGUAGUUAAGUUUGUAAAAACACUUAAUAACAAGAAAAGAACAUCUAGAAGGUUGAUUUUACAGGCAUCCUGGCUGGCAUCUGCAGAUUUUCUAUCAAGGAUGUCUAUGAAAUGUUCUUUAACAUUUCAAUAUUCUUUAAGAAUCCUGACACUUAAUGGCUUAUGUCAGUAAAAAUAUGUAGUCUAGACUGUUUUUUCCCCCCUUUAAUAUCCCACAUGCAUAUCAGCUCAGGUCUUAAACCACCACCAACCCCCCACUGCUCCCCUCCCCCCACCACCAAAGAAUGUUUCUACUGUAAAUAAGCCAUGGCAUUUUAAAACCAAUAAUCAAUUUUAAAUCACUAAUUAAAAUAAAUUAUAUAGAAACUUAAAGUAAAUUUGCCUUGUGUUAAUCCACGAGUGUUUCUACUUGGGUCUACUUAUGUCAGUCUCAUAAAACACUGAUCUUCUAAGUUAGCAUGGAAAGGACGGGACCAGAUGAAGGGAGGUGGUAUACAUUUCCAUGCCUUAUUAUAGUAACUAAUUUCCAUGCCUUAUUAUAGUAAGCAAAGAGCCAGAGUCUCUCUGUCUACUUAUUUAUCUUUUUAAUGGCAACCACUAAUGGCAGUAAAGAAGGGAGAGUACCCAAUAUCACCUAACCAUACUUUAAUUACAGUUGGGUAGCCACUUCAGAGCGCGCGGGUGAAGAGUUUGGGUCCGAAAACCAAAGCCAAGACCCCAGGAAGCGAAGAAGGAGACAGGAGGUGUCUGAAGCAAGAAGGGCACUGGAGAAUCGGCAGCAGGGCCUAGGCCGCCUCCGAACCAGGAUCCAAGGCCUGCGCCAUCUGCCCUGUGCGGGAAGCGCGGGGCCUGGGAGGCAGGGAGCGCUCACACCUGCGGUCGGGCAGGAGGCGCAACGCGCUGCCAGGGCGGCUUUAUCCUGCCGCCACAGGGCGGGGACCAGCCCGGCAGCCGGGUGUCCAGCGCCGCUCACGUGCCUCGCCUGGAGCUUAGCUCUCAGACUCCGAAGAGGGCGACUGAGACUUGGGCCUGGGAGUUGGCUUCGGGGUACCCAAGGCGACGACAGCUGAGUUGUACCACGAAGCUCAGGCCGAGGCCUCCUCCCUUGUCUGGCCUUCGAAUCCAUACUGGCAGCCUCUCCUCU
ensembl:lncRNA SALRNA1 senescence associated long non-coding RNA 1